UGGGGUAGUGGAGGAGGAGGAGAGGAGGAGGUCGUAGUGUUGUGUACUUAAGGUCGCGUGUGUGCAGGGUUUUUCUCCCUCUCUCGCGGAGGAGUAAGUGCCACUGCUCCGCCUUCUCCUUUUCGCAAUGUUGACGCAAUCUAUAAAUAGUGGAACAAAAGGACCAACUUCCUCGCAGCUUUGCUGAAACUGCACAAAAAAGGCAACAGGGGGGUUGUUAUUUUUAUUUUUUUUUCUGGUUAAACAGCCGAAUCUAGGGGUAAUCUCGCUAUUGGAAGAUUUUUCUUCGCUUUCUCAUCAUACUGGCAGCGUCCUGCAACUGGCUAUUUUGCUUUACCGUGAGAAGGGUGUUUUUCCUCCUCUGACAGAUCAACUUCUAAAAUUUGUGUCAGUGGACCGCUGAUCUGCUGCAACAUCACAGCUACUGUGAUUCUGGUCAAGAAUUGUGCCAGUUUUGACCUUUCAAUAGAGAGCUGAUUCUGGAGAACAACUUACUUCUGUGAUUGAAAAAUUCUCUCUGGGAAGCUGAUGGAGCAUGAGAAUGAGGAGUAUUGCAUUGAGACAACUGAAUCUGCCACAGUAAGGAUGGAAAUUGCAUGGGUUUCUUUCCUUUUCUUACAUGCAGUGUUUAACUGUGUGGGGAAGGAACCACUAAGUCCAGGCUACAAUUGAUUGCUGGGAACAGCAAAGGAGAAAAGAGGAACAGGAGUGAGGUUAAAGAUUGAAAAUCCAGGGAAACAGCGCAGAGAAUCCCAGAGAGCACCCACUGCUUCUCAAAGGCAUCCAAGGAAACAAUGGACACUGCCCAGAGGAACUCCGCCUGGAGAUGUGAGCAGACAAAGGACAAUAAAAAGGCCCCACAAUAGCAGAGCAUCCCCCACCCCAUCCAGCUUCCUCCUCUUGGAGUGAUAGAUGGCCAUCUGGGCUAGUGUCCAGAAGAUGUUGACAAGGAGGUCCCAUGACUUUGUGGAGCCAUGGAUUACGUGUACAAAAGUCAGGAGGUGUGGGGGAAAGUGGCAGCCAGAACCUCAGGAGGAGGUUCUGGAUGAUCCACAAGAGGGGCUGCAACCUGAUGCACUCUACAUAGAUCUCAAGGGUUGCUGUAAAAGGAACCUGUAUCAGAAGAGUUUGUGAACCAUGCCAGUACAUGCCUGUGCUCACAACUCCAUGUAGGAGUUGCUAAUUAAUAUCUCUGGUGGGCCAUGGAACUACAAUGGAGUACAGACAGGCCCACCAGGGUUCCUCAUCCUCCGCAGGUGACAAUAGGUUCCUUCACUUGGUGUUGGAUGGGACGCAAGGGUGACGAAGUGAAUGGUACGAAGCAUGAGCGCUUACAGAUAUUCUCUUGGCACAGCUUGGAGGCAGACCAGCUGGAUGUUAUUCAGCUGACUUAGGUGACAUGUUGGGGGCAGCCGGGGAGGCUC